rnacentral:rRNA from 1 species
ACUCAAAUGAAUUGACGGGGGCCCGCACAAGCGGCGGAGCAUGUGGCUUAAUUCGAUGCGACGCGAAGAACCUUACCUGGGUUGAACUACGUAGGAAAAGCCGUAGAGAUGCGGUGUCCGAAAGGGCCUGCGAUAGGUGGUGCAUGGCUGUCGUCAGCUCGUGUCGUGAGAUGUUGGGUUAAGUCCCGCAACGAGCGCAACCCUUGUCCCAUGUUGCCAGCGGAUAAUGCCGGGCACUCUUGGGAGACUGCCGGGGUCAACUCGGAGGAAGGUGGGGAUGACGUCAAGUCCUCAUGCCCCUUAUGCCCAGGGCUGCACACAUGCUACAAUGGCCGGUACAAAGGGCUGCGACCCCGCGAGGGUGAGCGAAUCCCAAAAAGCCGGUCUCAGUUCGGAUCGCAGUCUGCAACUCGACUGCGUGAAGUCGGAGUCGCUAGUAAUCCCGAAUCAGCAACGUCGGGGUGAAUACGUUCCCGGGCCUUGUACACACCGCCCGU